GCCGAAUGAGCCUCCUGUUACCGCCGGCGAAUUUGGUUGGGGGCGCCUGGGAUAAGGCCCACUACGACCGGCGAAAUUGGGCCGCGCGUGCCGGGGGUAUUUGGCACAUCACAACCCAUCCACCUAGGGUAACACCUCACCCAGCACAUCACAACUACCAACCCCGUGACCUCCUUCCUCUCAAGCGCCGCCGCCCUCCUCCCUUGCUGCCCAGCCAGCAGCCACCGCCGCGAUGUCGUCGGAGCCUCCACCCGCCUCCGCCUCCGCCUCCAUGGAGGAGCUCGAGACCGACCUCACCGCCUCCACAAUCAGCAAGAAGCAGCUCAACAAGGAGGCCCGGAAGGCCGCCAAGGCCGAGAAGUCCCAGGCGGAGGAGGAGGACCCCUUCGCCGCCAACUACGGCGACGUCCCCGUCGAGGAGAUCUAGUCCAAGGCCAUCUCCGGCCGGACCUGGACCGACAUCGGCGACCUCGACGAGGCCGCGGCGGAUCGCUCCCGCGGCGGCUCCCACGCCAUCUCCCUCCGUGCCUCCUCCCCUCCAGAUGGACGCCGCUGGGUUCCAGCCGGACCAGCAGCACUUCAACAAUUUUCAACAGUACAAUGGUUCGCCUAUAUGUUGAUCUUUCCUUUUGGUGACCUCUGGUUUCGAGUGGUGCACAGAACAAUGUCUACACGGACAUGUUGAUCAUCGGAAGUGAAGAAUCAAAAGAUCAUCAUAAGUGAAGAAUCAAGAUGCAAUCAAUACGUGGAUUAUAGAUAUGCCUGUGUGUGCAAUCAAUAGUUAGAGCACUUUAUUUUGUGGAUUUUUUUUGUGAAUUUUGCUGGAUGUAUUCACAUGUGCCCUGAUGUAUAAUUGCAAAGCUAAUAAAUAGUACAUGGACGGGAUGGAUGGGUUACGUGAA